rnacentral:lncRNA from 1 species
GUCGUAGCUUGUGAGAGUUCUACCGUCACUGGCUGUGACUUGAAACGACAAGCUCUGGCCAUUAAGGUAAGAGUUGCUCUGCCAAUUCUGGCCCCAGUUCCUCGACAUGGGUUGCCACCCUGUUUUCGACCCUUUGAUCGACACUGCAUGAACAUCUCCUGCUCCGCCGACGUUGGUGAUCAGCACCAGGUUGAAGUAAGAGUGUCCAUUAAUGGUGAAUCUUAUCCCUCCUUUCUUCAUACAAGGCACCCUGCAAAAAAAAAAAAAAAAUCACACACCCAAUUCACCCACCAAACCAAAAACAGAGUCUCUGUAAAAGAGAGAAUUGUUACUUUACCUUCUAAAAGCGACAGGGACGAUCCCAGCUCUGUACUGUGCAAUCUGCAAGAAAGCAGGCUCGGCCAAGUCAAAGUGCUGGAGAGGAGGAUUGCACCACCCGCCAUUGUCGUUAGACAGAGCAAAGUUUGGCGGACAGAAGUUGGUAGCAGUGACAGUGAUGGUCCCGGGAAGACACCAUCUUGGGUCAUCGUUGCAUCGCAUUUCGUAGCAAGAACCACAGCUCAAGCCAUUGUUGAAAAGGGC